rnacentral:rRNA from 1 species
UAGGGAAUUUUCGUCAAUGGGCGCAAGCCUGAACGAGCAAUGCCGCGUGAACGAGGAAGGUCUUCGGAUCGUAAAGUUCUGUUGAAGGGGAAAAAGAGCGGAGAGAGGAAAAUGGUCUCCGAUUGAUAUUACCCUUCGAGGAAGUCACGGCUAACUACGUGCC